rnacentral:rRNA from 1 species
UACGUAGGCAGCGAGCGUUGUUCGGAGUUACUGGGCGUAAAGAGUGCGUAGGCGGUUUUCUAAGUUUGGUGUGAAAUCUCCCGGCUUAACUGGGAGGGUGCGCCGAAAACUGGAAGGCUUGAGUAUGGGAGAGGUAAGCGGAAUUCCUGGUGUAGCGGUGAAAUGCGUAGAUAUCAGGAGGAACACCUGCGGUGUAGACGGCUUACUGGGCCAUAACUGACGCUGAGGCACGAAAGCGUGGGUAGCAAACAGG